GAUGAACGCUAGCGGCAGGCUUAACACAUGCAAGUCGAGGGGUAUUUAUCUUCUUAUAGCGAGACCGGCGCACGGGUGCGUAACUCGUAUCCAAUCUACCUUUUACAAAUGGAUAGCCCCGAGAAAUUUGGAUUACUACUUCAUCGUAUAUAGACUCGGCAUCGAUAUUAUAUUAAAGUCACAACGGUAAAAGAUUAGCAUGCGUCCCAUUAGCUUGUUGGUAAGGUAACGGCUUACCAAGGCUACGAUGGGUAGGGGUCAUGAGAGGGAGAUCCCCCACACUGGUACUGAGACACGGACCAGAAUGCUACGGGAGGCAGGAGUAAGGAAUAUUGGACAAGGGGCGCAAGCCUGAUCCAGCCAUGCCGCGUGCAGGAUGACGGUCAUAUGGAUUGUAAACUGCUUUUAUACGAGAAGAAACACUGCUACGUGUAGCAGCUUGACGGUAUCGUAAGAAUAAGGAUCGGCUAACUCCGUG
rnacentral:rRNA from 1 species